rnacentral:misc_RNA from 1 species
GAUGAAGAACGUAGCGAAAUGCGAUAAGUAAUGUGAAUUGCAGAAUUCAGUGAAUCAUCGAAUCUUUGAACGCACAUUGCGCCCGCCAGUAUUCUGGCGGGCAUGCCUGUUCGAGCGUCAUUACAACCCUCAGGCCCCCGGGCCUGGCGUUGGGGAUCGGCGGAAGCCCCCUGCGGGCACAACGCCGUCCCCCAAAUACAGUGGCGGUCCCGCCGCAGCUUCCAUUGCGUAGUAGCACAAACCUCGCGGCUGGAAGGCGGCGCGGCCACGCCGUAAAACCCCCCAACUUUACCAAGGUUGACCUCGGAUCAGGUAGGAAUACCCGCUGAACUUAAGCAUAUCAAUAAGCGGAGGA